GGGGGGCAUCCACAAGCUGCCAUGUUAUCUGAUGCAAUCUUCCUACAUAAAAGCUCUGUAAUUUCCUGUUUGUGGGACUUGAGAAGGUUCAGCAAGUCUCAAAUUACAAGAUACAUGA